GCUCCACCGGAAAAAGAAGAGUGGCGAACGGGUGAGUAACACGUGGGUAACCUGCCCAUCAGAAGGGGAUAACACUUGGAAACAGGUGCUAAUACCGUAUAACAAUCGAAACCGCAUGGUUUUGAUUUGAAAGGCGCUUUCGGGUGUCGCUGAUGGAUGGACCCGCGGUGCAUUAGCUAGUUGGUGAGGUAACGGCUCACCAAGGCCACGAUGCAUAGCCGACCUGAGAGGGUGAUCGGCCACAUUGGGACUGAGACACGGCCCAAACUCCUACGGGAGGCAGCAGUAGGGAAUCUUCGGCAAUGGACGAAAGUCUGACCGAGCAACGCCGCGUGAGUGAAGAAGGUUUUCGGAUCGUAAAACUCUGUUGUUAGAGAAGAACAAGGAUGAGAGUAACUGUUCAUCCCUUGACGGUAUCUAACCAGAAAGCCACGGCUAACUACGUGCCAGCAGCCGCGGUAAUACGUAGGUGGCAAGCGUUGUCCGGAUUUAUUGGGCGUAAAGCGAGCGCAGGCGGUUUCUUAAGUCUGAUGUGAAAGCCCCCGGCUCAACCGGGGAGGGUCAUUGGAAACUGGGAGACUUGAGUGCAGAAGAGGAGAGUGGAAUUCCAUGUGUAGCGGUGAAAUGCGUAGAUAUAUGGAGGAACACCAGUGGCGAAGGCGGCUCUCUGGUCUGUAACUGACGCUGAGGCUCGAAAGCGUGGGGAGCAAACAGGAUUAGAUACCCUGGUAGUCCACGCCGUAAACGAUGAGUGCUAAGUGUUGGA
rnacentral:rRNA from 1 species